UGCAGUCGAACGGUAACGACGAGGACAAUCCUUUCGGGGUGCGUUUUCGGGCGACGAGUGGCGGACGGGUGAGUAACGCGUGGGAAUCUGCCCGGCGGCGGGGGACAGCCCGGGGAAACCCGGAUUAAUACCGCAUACGUCCUAUGGGAGAAGGGCGGGGAUCUUUUCGGAGACCUGUCGCCGCCGGAUGAGCCCGCGUUGGAUUAGGUUGUUGGGGGGGUAAUGGCCCACCAAGCCGACGAUCCAUAGCUGGUCUGAGAGGACGACCAGUCACACCGGAACUGAGACACGGUCCGGACUCCUACGGGAGGCAGCAGUGGGGAAUAUUGCGCAAUGGGGGCAACCCUGACGCAGCAAUGCCGCGUGUGUGAAGAAGGCCUUCGGGUUGUAAAGCACUUUCAAUUGGGAAGAAAAGCAUUCGGUUAAUACCCGGGUGUCUUGACGGUACCAUUACAAGAAGCACCGGCUAACUCCGUGCCAGCAGCCGCGGUAAUACGGAGGGUGCAAGCGUUAAUCGGAAUCACUGGGCGUAAAGCGCACGCAGGCGGAUGUUUAAGUCAAAUGUGAAAGCCCCGGGCUCAACCUGGGAAUUGCAUUUGAUACUGGACAUCUUGAGUAUGGCAGAGAGAAGUGGAAUUCCGCAUGUAGCGGUGAAAUGCGUAGAGAUGCGGAGGAACAUCAGUGGCGAAGGCGACUUCUUGGGCCAAUACUGACGCUCAGGUGCGAAAGCGUGGGGAGCGAACAGGAUUAGAUACCCUGGUAGUCCACGCCGUAAACGAUGUCUACCAGCCGUUGCCGGGCUUAGACUCGGCAGUGGCGAAGCUAACGCGUUAAGUAGACCGCCUGGGGAGUACGGCCGCAAGGCUAAAACUCAAAGGAAUUGACGGGGGCCCGCACAAGCGGUGGAGCAUGUGGUUUAAUUCGAUGCAACGCGAAGCACCUUACCCACCCUUGACAUCUUGUCGCGAACCCAGAGAUGGGUUCUUCAGUUUGGCUGGACAAAGACAGGUGCUG
rnacentral:rRNA from 1 species